rnacentral:tRNA from 1 species
GCCUUCGUGGUGUAACGGUAACACACUAAACGUGUAUUUGAGACGUCCAGGUUCGAGUCCCGGCAAGGGCA